AUAAGAGAGACAGCUACUUUCCUGGACCCCGGGAAAAGUAACUGCUGCUUCUGCAAAAACAAAUGUGGAUCAAAAUAAACAAAAUAAUAACCACAGACGAUACAGAGCGAGCGAUGGAGAGAGGCAGAGGAGGGGCCCCUCUGCUGGUGGAGAGCAGAUGCUGGAAGAGUGUGGGACUGCUGUACCAAUUGUCCACAUACAAAGUGUGUCCCUUGCUGAGAUGAGGAGCCAGCAUGGUCAUCACCACGGACCUGGACACCCCCUCAUGCUCAUCAAUGCAUAGGUCCUUUUAUGGCACAAAGACUCAACCAAAUGCUAUUGUCAGGCUGCUCCAAGGCAUAGCGAUUGGUCUCUACUAUGUCUCCCACCAGCUACUCUGUCAGAAGCAACUUGAAGCACUCUGCCUCAGAUGGAAAUGGCAAGGGCUGUUGCACUCCAGACUGGGACUCAUCAAAGCAAACAGCAGGGCCAGGAGGGGUGAAAUGGCUGGCAGCCUUCCAGCUACCACAGAACUCCUGUACUUCACCCACUGUUGGUCUUCCUCCAUCACCACCAGCAUAGAUUGUAAUGGGCACAUAUUAUGUAUGUAAAAUACUUUUUUAAGGUUGUACUGAUUAUGAUGAGCUAAGCCAAUUCCAGCUAUGUGUGUGGAGCCAUGUUUGUUGACAUACAAUGCAUUCUGAGUUUCACAUAAUCGUCUGUCGGACCAAAGAUGCUAUAACAAAAUGAGGUGAGUAAGGGUUCAUUCAUUUUUUGGGAACUUCAGGAAGUCAAUAGUGGGAUGUGAAUGAUGUUAGAUGACACACCCCUUCAACAUACAUACUAUAAACAGACCAAACUCAUCUUGUCUUCUCUUAUUAUCUUUGGUUUCUGUGAGGAAAAGAAGCAUGGUGGUGUGCUGAAACUAAUCAUCAUCGGGUUCCUUUCGAUUUCUAGAAAGUGUUUUACUCAAUUAUUUCUAUAAAUGGUGAGCUCACCCGUGAUGUGAUUCAUUAUAAAUAGUAAUUGCUAUUAGCUAAUUCAUAUUGUAGUUUGUCAGCCGAGAGUUAUAAAAGUAUGACCGCUUGUGUUUCGUCAAUCUUUCCUCAGUUAGUGCCAGGGCAAAUGUAGCCUACAUUCUUCCGGUUUGGAUGAUUGUGUUAUGCUAUAGAUACUUCUGUGAAUAUCUGAACAUUGCAUCCAAAAAUAAACUGCUCACA